rnacentral:misc_RNA from 1 species
AACCUCACACUCUAGAGUUUUCUCUCUAGAGACGUGGAUUUGGGUGUUGCAAAUUCUGCUCACCUUGAAAGCCUUAGCUGGUUCCAACCGCAGCCUGAUGUAAUAAGUUUCAUCUGGUCAAGGGGAAGACUGCUUCUAAUCGCCCUCUGGGCAAUAUUUAAG